rnacentral:misc_RNA from 1 species
AGGAAAAAUCUCAUUACAUCAACACUCUUCCUUGAGAGUUUUCCUGGAUACUCCAAGCUUCUUCCUUAUCUCUUCAAAUCUGCUUUUAGGAAGAGCUUUGGUCAGAAUAUCAGCAAGUUGCAUUUCAAACUUGCAAUGAAGCAACUUAAUCUCAGCAUUCUUCUCAGCUUCCCUCAGAAAGUGAUACUUCACUUUAAUAUGUUUAGUCCUCCCAUGCUGAAUAGGAUUAUUAGCUAUAGCAAUUUUAGAUUUGCUAUCACACCAAAUGACAGUAGGAUCAAAUUGUUCAAUCCCAAAUCAACAAUCA